CCUACGGGAGGCAGCAGUGGGGAAUAUUGGGCAAUGGAGGAAACUCUGACCCAGCGACGCCGCGUGAGGGAUGAAGGCCUUCGGGUUGUAAACCUCUUUCAGUAGGGAAGAAGCGAAAGUGACGGUACCUACAGAAGAAGCACCGGCUAACUAUGUGCCAGCAGCCGCGGUAAUACAUAGGGUGCAAGCGUUGUCCGGAAUUAUUGGGCGUAAAGAGCUCGUAGGUGGUUCGAUACGUCGGAUGUGAAAAUCAGGGGCUCAACCCCUGACCUGCAUCCGAUACGGUCGAGCUAGAGUUUGGUAGGGGAGACUGGAAUUCCUGGUGUAGCGGUGGAAUGCGCAGAUAUCAGGAGGAACACCGAUGGCGAAGGCAGGUCUCUGGGCCAAUACUGACACUGAGGAGCGAAAGCGUGGGGAGCGAACAGGAUUAGAUACCCUGGUAGUCCACGCCGUAAACGGUGGGCGCUAGUUGUGCGAACCUUCCGACGGUUUGUGCGACGCAGCUACGCAUAAGUCGCCCGCCGUCGGGAGGUACGAGCGCGAGAAUAAACUAACAAAGAAGUUAGACGGCGUGAGACGNGCCGACGGACGACGACGAGGGAGGAGG
rnacentral:rRNA from 1 species